CCCUUAGAUGUUCUGGGCCGCACGCGCGCUACACUGAACAGUUCAACAAGUCUUAACCUUGGCCGAUAGGUCUGGGUAAUCUUUGAACGCUGUUCGUGAUUGGGAUAGACCUUUGCAAUUAUGGGUCUUCAACGAGGAAUUCCUAGUAAACGCAAGUCAUCAGCUUGCAUUGAUUACGUCCCUGCCCUUUGUACACACCGCCCGUCACACCUACCGAUUGAAUGGUCCGGUGAAAUCUCGGGACGGCGGCUUGGUCGCUUGCGUCCGACUGCUGAAACUUGAUUAAACCAUAUCAUUUAGAGGAAGGUGAAGUCGUAACA
rnacentral:rRNA from 1 species